GUCGAACGAACCUUCGGGUUAGUGGCGGACGGGUGAGUAACGCGUGGGAAUCUGCCCUCAGGAGGGGGAUAACGGUUGGAAACGACCGCUAAUACCCCAUAUGCCGAAAGGUGAAAUGAAUUUCGCCUGAGGAUGAGCCCGCGUCAGAUUAGCUAGUUGGUGAGGUAAUGGCUUACCAAGGCUUCGAUCAGUAGCUGGUCUGAGAGGAUGAUCAGCCACACUGGGACUGAGACACGGCCCAGACUCCUACGGGAGGCAGCAGUGGGGAAUUUUCCGCAAUGGGCGCAAGCCUGACGGAGCAACGCCGCGUGAGGGACGAAGGCCUCUGGGCUGUAAACCUCUUUUCUCAAGGAAGAAGAUAUGACGGUACUUGAGGAAUAAGCCACGGCUAAUUCCGUGCCAGCAGCCGCGGUAAUACGGGAGUGGCAAGCGUUAUCCGGAAUUAUUGGGCGUAAAGCGUCCGCAGGCGGCCUUUCAAGUCUGCUGUUAAAGCGUGGAGCUUAACUCCAUUAUGGCAGUGGAAACUGUAAGGCUUGAGUAUGGUA
rnacentral:rRNA from 1 species